rnacentral:sRNA from 1 species
GAAUUCCUGCAGUGAAUCCUUUCACAAAGCCAAGCGUUCUUUUAUGAUGUGAAUACCUGUGCAGUUUAUCUGCUUUGUAAACCUGGGUGUGCGUUCAGUGGGCUUUUAAUGACAAAACUCUUCUCCUGGUGGUGCUGUUACUCGGGGUGACCCUUUUCAUCACAGUCUUGGUUUUGUUUGCCCUGCAGGCCUACGAGAGCUACAAGAAGAAGGACUACACGCAGGUGGACUACUUAAUCAACGGGAUGUAUGCCGACUCGGAAAUGUGAGGGGGGCGGGGGCCUGGCGAGGUCUGGCCCCUUCCUUGUCCUUUCCUUUUGCCUUUGAGACCAAACCAAGUGCUUCCAAAUUCUUUUGGUGCAAUUUAGGAGAUAUGCCAGAUGCUUAAACACAUUUAAUUGCUGUCAGAUUAAUUCCAUGAUUACUAAAGAGUUGCUGCUUUUUUCAUA